GAAUUAGAACGCAAAAACACGGCCCGGUUGGUAGUCCGGGCGCACGAGGCGGCGGCCCGGCGCCGUCCCGUGUCAGUAACCUUCCCCCCUCGGGAUGUCCGGCGUUCCCAUGUUGAAC
rnacentral:ncRNA from 1 species